AGAACAACCGAGGGGUGCCAAACUUGUUUGGCUGAGAUCAUACCCUUAAGAGCGGAUCAUGGUAAUGCAUGCGUCGCGACGUGUUUUCUUUUUUCA
rnacentral:ncRNA from 2 species